rnacentral:rRNA from 1 species
CUAAGAAUCUUCCGCAAUGGGCGCAAGCCUGACGGAGCGACGCCGCGUGGACGAUGAAGGCCCUAUCGGGUUGUAAAGUCCUUUUCUAAGGGAAGAAAUACCUGUAUUUACAGGGGCUGACGGUACCUUAGGAAUAAGCCCCGGCUAAUUACGUGCCAGCAGCCGCGGUAAUACGUAAGGGGCGAGCGUUGUUCGGAUUUAUUGGGCGUAAAGGGUGCGUAGGCGGACGCUUAAGUGAGGUGUGAAAAUCCAGGGCUCAACCUUGGACUUGCGCUUCAAACUGGGUGUCUUGAGUGUAGGAGAGGAAACCGGAAUUCCUGGUGUAGGGGUGAAAUCUAUAGAUAUCAGGAAGAACACCGAAGGCGAAGGCAGGUUUCUGGUCUAACACUGACGCUGAGGCACGAAAGCCAGGGGAGCGAACG